GUACUUGCUUCGGCAGUACGUAUACUAAAAUUGGAACGAUACAGAGAAGACUAGCAUGGUCCCUGCGCAAGGAUGACAUGUGUUCAUCUUCCACAAGGCCCAAACUUGU